rnacentral:lncRNA from 1 species
GUUAUCAAAAAGCCCUGAAAGCUAGAGUUCUAACUUCCUGCUCCCCCUUUCUCCUCACAUAACAAUAAAUGUGCUUUUUCUAUUAAAGGCCCAAGAGGGGACAUGAUUUGCUCAAGGUCACACAGAUAAGAAAUCAGAAGAACCAGGAUUCAAAUCCAGGUACCUUGAGCUCAGCUCCGGUAUUCUGUCUUGCUUUGCUGAGGGUGAUCUUGGUGCCAUUCCUGGGGCAGAGAUGCCCUGGGUGGUGGGCCACACUUUGGGUAUCACACUGUCAGAGUGUGUUAUUACCUCCUAUUUCAACACCUGUAAAACCAGCACCUCAGGUGGAUGAGUCAGAGGUGCCACAUGCCUUCUAUUCAGAGAGCUACUAUGUCUACACCGCAGGGCCCCGGUUUAAUUGACACAAUAUGCUUGACAUGACAUUGAUUAAGACUGGUGGGUCAAAAAAAGGAAAAUCAACUUGCAUGAUCAC